rnacentral:snRNA from 13 species
GUUCUUUUCAGUUUAAUCUCUGAAACGUCACUACGGUGACAUUCUAUGAUUAUACUUAUUUUUGGACCUCCGUCGGUGGCCGCUGGGCUUGCUCAUGUCACUGACGACCGUGUCG